rnacentral:pre_miRNA from 1 species
AAAAAGACAAACCAUGGGUUUCCGUGUCUAACUUUGAUUGUCCGUCUUAUAUGAAAAUUUUUUGUAAUUCGUAUUUUCAUUGUUGCUAGAUGAUAAAACAUGAUAAUAUUUUAUGUGUGACUUGUCUUUUUAAUUUUUUUCAUAUUUUUUUUAAAUAAGACGGACGGUCAAACGUUGAACACGGAAACU